UACGUAGGGGGCAAGCGUUGUCCGGAUUUAUUGGGCGUAAAGAGCGUGUAGGCGGCCAGGCAGGUCCGCUGUGAAAACUCGAGGCUCAACCUCGAGAGGUCGGUGGAAACCGUCUGGCUAGAGUCCGGAAGAGGAGAGUGGAAUUCCCGGUGUAGCGGUGAAAUGCGCAGAUAUCGGGAAGAACACCCGUGGCGAAGGCGGCCCCCUGGGCCGUACCUGACGCUGAGGCGCGAAGGCUAGGGGAGCGAACGGG
rnacentral:rRNA from 1 species